rnacentral:rRNA from 1 species
UACGAAGGGGGCUAGCGUUGCUCGGAAUCACUGGGCGUAAAGGGUGCGUAGGCGGGUUUUUAAGUCAGGGGUGAAAUCCUGGAGCUCAACUCCAGAACUGCCUUUGAUACUGAAGAUCUUGAGUCCGGGAGAGGUGAGUGGAACUGCGAGUGUAGAGGUGAAAUUCGUAGAUAUUGGGAAGAACACCGGUGGCGAAGGCGGCUCACUGGCCCGUAACUGACGCUCAUGCACGACAGCGUGGGGAUCAAACAGG